UUAGAACGAGUGUUUGGACUUAAUACCGGUUUUCAUAAUGCCUGUAAUUAUUUAAGUGCAUUUUAAGGCUAACGAACGUUCGCUAAUGGCGUUUGAAGGAACAGCACGGGUUCUCUUUAUUUUUGCCAUACUACACGUGGCAGGUGCCGUCACAACCUACACAUGGGGUUCCUGGGGUGACUGGGGAUCUUGUAUCAGUAACUGUCCAGACAGCAACACCGGCACGAAAACCCGCACUAAAGAAUGCAUCGCCCAUAUCACAACGGCAAACCACACCACCACACAUUCAGUUGUAUACAUCCACUGCGGCAUCUCGACCCAUCGUCACCAGAACACAAACUGCAGUGUUACCU